rnacentral:rRNA from 1 species
GAGUUUGAUCGUGGCUCAGAUUGAACGCUGGCGGCAUGCCUUACACAUGCAAGUCGAACGGUAACAGGUCUUCGGAUGCUGACGAGUGGCGAACGGGUGAGUAAUACAUCGGAACGUGCCCAGACGUGGGGGAUAACGAGGCGAAAGCUUUGCUAAUACCGCAUACGAUCUAAGGAUGAAAGCAGGGGACCACAAGGCCUUGCGCGUUUGGAGCGGCCGAUGGCAGAUUAGGUAGUUGGUGGGAUAAAAGCUUACCAAGCCGACGAUCUGUAGCUGGUCUGAGAGGACGACCAGCCACACUGGGACUGAGACACGGCCCAGACUCCUACGGGAGGCAGCAGUGGGGAAUUUUGGACAAUGGGCGAAAGCCUGAUCCAGCAAUGCCGCGUGCAGGAUGAAGGCC